GCUUACGUAGCUUAGUAUAUAAAGCGUUCUUUUACUAAAAGAACAAGUGUCCGGUUCAAAUCCGGUCGUAAGCU
rnacentral:tRNA from 1 species